rnacentral:rRNA from 1 species
CCUACGGGAGGCAGCAGUGGGGAAUAUUGGACAAUGGGCGAAAGCCUGAUCCAGCAACGCCGCGUGAGGGAUGACGGCCUUCGGGUUGUAAACCUCUUUCAGCAGGGACGAAGCGCAAGUGACGGUACCUGCAGAAGAAGCACCGGCCAACUUCGUGCCAGCAGCCGCGGUAAU